CCCCCAAGACUCGAGGCAUUUUUUAAUUAAAUUUUUUGACUAAUAUGUGGUGUUCAUACAUUUGUAUGGUAGUAUAGGGAAGUAUCACAAACUCAAACCCUUUCAGGGGAUCCUGCAGUUAACAUAUGUGAAUGAAACAGCUAUAUUAAAAUGUAUCCAUCGUCUUUUAAACACAAUGGCAUCAUUCUUUAAGCACAUCAUCUUAAAGAAAGAAAGGGAAAAUGAGAUGGAAGGAGGCCGGCUGGAAAAAAAGAGAAAAAUAUUCAGGUUAAAUUUUCUAAUAGAUGCAUCAUACACAGGGUAGUAUAUUUAUGGAAAACUGCUCCCAAAUUCAGGUUGCAAGUGAGUGCUAAGGUGACUUUAAAAAAAUUAUUAUUUUUAUUUUGUAAAGACUUGUACCUAUAUCUACUCACUUACCUGUCUAAUCUGUCAGUCAUCAUUUUCUUUGGUGAAGUGUCUAUUUAGAUCUUUUGCAUAUUUUUUAAUUGAGUUGUUUGUUUUCUUAUUGUUGAGUUUUCAGAGUUCUUUGUAUAUUUUAGAUAACUGUUACUUAUCAGGAAUGUGUUUUGCUAAUAUUUUACUAGUCAUUUACAUUAUGUAUAUCUCCUAAUGCUAUCCCUCCUCCCUCCCCGCACCCAACCACAGGCCCCAGUGUGUGAUAUUCCCCAUCCUGUGUCCAAGUGUAUGUGUUUAUAGUAUUCUCUGAUGGUAGUUUGCAUUUCUGUGGGAUCGGUGGUGAUAUCCCCUUUAUCAUUUUUUAUUGCAUCUAGUUGAUUCUUCUCUCUUUUCUUCUUUAUUAGUCUUCCUAGCGAUUUAUCAAUUUUGUUGAUCUUUUCACAAAACCAGCUCCUGGAUUCACUGAUUUUUUUUGAAGGUUUUUUUGUGUCUCUAUUUCCUUCAGUUCUGCUCUGAUCUUAGUUAUUUCUUGCCUUCUGCUAGCUUUUGAAUGUAUUUGCUCUUGCUUCUCUAGUACUUUUAAUUGUGAUGUUAGGGUGAUGUUGACAGUGGAGUGUUAAAGUCUCCCAUUAUUAUUGUGUGGGAGUCUAACUCUCUUUGUAGGUCUCUAAGGACUUGCUUUAUGAAUCUGGGUGCAACCUUACAGGCCAGUAGAGAGUGCCAUAACAUAUUUGAAGUGCUGAAGGAAAAAACGUUUACCCUAGAAUAGUAUAUCCAGUGAAAAUAACUUUCAAACAUGAAAGAGAAAUAAAGGUUUCCUAAUCCUCAAUAAAAUACUGGCAAACCGAAUCCAGCAGCACAUCAAAAAGCUUAUCCACCAUGAUCAAGUGGGCUUCAUCCCUGGGAUGCAAGGCUGGUUCAACAUACACAAAUCAGUAAGCGUA
rnacentral:lncRNA from 1 species